rnacentral:rRNA from 1 species
CAGUCGCCGCGGUAAUACAGAGGGUGCGAGCGUUAAUCGGAUUUACUGGGCGUAAAGCGUGCGUAGGCGGCUUCUUAAGUCGGAUGUGAAAUCCCUGAGCUUAACUUAGGAAUUGCAUUCGAUACUGGGAAGCUUGAGUAUGGGAGAGGAUGGUAGAAUUCCAGGUGUAGCGGUGAAAUGCGUAGAGAUCUGGAGGAAUACCGAUGGCGAAGGCAGCCAUCUGGCCUAAUACUGACGCUGAGGUACGAAAGCAUGGGGAGCAAACAGGAUUAGAUACCCGGGUAGUCCCUGUCUCUUAUAA